CCUGGCUGAGCAGGCUGAAGUGCAUACCGCCGGACCAGUGUUACACCGCGCGCUAGUCAGCAGACAUGUAAGUAUCCCUAGUGCCCGGUAACAUGGCUGGCGGCACGAUUUGUAGAAUUACUAAAACAUAGAGGAAUGAUCAAAGGAGCAGAGCAGUACCCCCCUUUAAGCAGCGCCCUCGGUGGCCGCCUAAUUGGCCUAUAGGACGCGCCGGCCCUGGUAGGGAGGUACAUCUAACUGUUCUCACCAGCGUAUGCCAUACAAUAUGAUCAGCAGUUGUAGGUUUUUGUUAACUUGAAACAAGCAUAUUUAGUUACAACUAUUUUUACCAGCUGUCAUACAAAAUGAAUAUACACAAAGCUUAAAGACAGGGAACAGCAAUAAAAAGGGACCAGCAUUAUUAAAAAGAGAGCCUGAAACAAAAGGGAAAAUAAGAUAUAAAAAUAUGUAUACCAUGCUGCAAGCAUACCUCGAAAAAGAAUCAUAUAAGCUUAAAAUUGCUGAUUCUCAUGUUACAUGUCUAUUUUUCUUGCCUGAAAUGUAUUAUUCCCCUGUAUUCUUGUUUAAUAUACAAACUGCAAAUUAACCUUUAUUGAUGAUGAUGUCAUAAUGACUUAACUCCAUAAUCAAUAGGAGGUAAUAAUCCAUGCAUAGAAACAAAAUCACAAGCUCCCUCAACUAACCCAUUAAACACACUGUGGGGAUUCUGUUUUCUUCCUUAUGUCAUGCAAUAGAUUGAUCCUGCAACGCUGUAGGGUUUGAAAGUGUUCCAGAUAUAUGUUUCACAUUCUGAUAAUUAGACCCAAGUGUAACUUCUAUGGACAUUUGUGUGUUUGUAACCUUUUGUUCUCCUUUUCCGAAUUAAACCAAACAUAUUCUCCUUUUUUGGAUGAAAUAGAAAAUGUUGUGUAUUAUGUUUAAAUAGAUAGAUGACAGACAGAAAGACAUACUGGUAGAUAGAUGACAAUACAUCAUAGAUCACAUACAUAACAUAGAAACAUAGAUAGAUAGAUAGAUAGAGUAAUGGAGCUCCCUGUACCCCUGGCUGGGUACCUCUGCUAAGGACCGCUUCCUAGCUGGAACAGGGGACAAACCUCAGCACUCCUGCCCCCAGUCGCCGAGACUGGACUGGGGUCCUGGAACCACUCCGUCUGGGAGCCGAACCCCUCCUCUGUGUCUGAGACAUAACUGAAUCAGGAACUGAACUAACUCAAUUAUCUCAAGGCACAUAAAAACAUACAAUAUCACAAAACCCCCAAAAUACCUUUAACCCCUUAAGGACCAAACUUUUGGAAUAAAAGGGAAUCCUGACAUGUCACACAUGUCAUGUGUCCUUAAGGGGUUAAAACACAUAAAAACCCCACAAAGGUUACUCCUGAUAGCCCAAAUCUGGGUGACCAACAUAUCCAAAAAUCACCCAGAUCUGUUCAGGGGUUCGGAAUUUCCCUGGAAGUCAUAAUUUUGACCGACCACUCACAUGGUUCUAUGCCCAAAACAGCUCCAUGAAAUCAGUGCUAAUGGUCGGUCAAGUUCGGUAGUUUAAAAAAUGAACAAACUACCGAACGGAAUCCAUAGUUCUACCGUGGAGCUUGUUCACCUUGUUGGUGGGAACGUUUCCACCAAACAGUGUCAUUCUAAGUCGUAUAGAACCGAACGCAGGCGAUGAUAGAAGUCCAGCGGUGUUUGGGAGUUUCUGUGUCCGAUUUCAGUUCCAUGAACUCGACGACCAAACACCACUGCCUGAAUUUAUGCAAACAAAAUGACCGCUACCUCGUGGUUGUUCAUGCGAACAGCAGCCACCCAGCUGAAAAAUUAGAACACUGCAGUGGAACAUAUUACAAACUGUCAAUUAGGCUUAUCAAGCUCCCGCGACCAAGGUAAGUAUGACAUAUCUCUGUUGGCGUCGCUGCUUAGUUUAUAUGCAGCCACGUGGGCAGAAGAGCCGGGAGCCGUGAUAGAUAAAUAGAUAGAUAUAUAGAUAGAUAGGGUAUGCACCAGUGCAUACAGACUGCUCGCUCCUUGGGCUGCACAGUAACAGGUAGUAGGUGCCAGUAUAUUACUUUGCAUCCCAACACCCUCUACCUGUGAUAUUCAAAGAGGACUAUUGUAAUUAAGCUUGAAGAUGCAGCUGCCAGCAUCAAGGGGCAUUUAUAUAAAGAGAACGGAAACUUUCAUCACAAUGAUUAUCAGUAAACCUACAAGAUAAGUGUUACUAGAUGAGGCUGCAUUGUGUCCGCAUACACCUCUCAACAUCUUGUAUUUCUAAUCCAUUGGUAGGGGAACCAGGUUACAUUUUUGACAAACAAGUGCCUACCUUGCAACUUUAAAUUGAGGGUAAUUUAUUAAAUACAGUAUGGAUAGGAAUAUGUAACAUAAUUAAAAAUAUCUAUGUAUAAAUCCUAGUUGGGAGAGUAACAGAAAAUAUAGCGAUAUAGGCACAGACCAUAUCUGAGUUUCUGGUUUGGGGUUGUUGUGGGUGGUUUGUGGUUUGGUUCCUUCAUUUUCACCCUAGUAUCCUUUACCUCUGUAUAUACCUGACUUCUGUAUACUGGCUGGGACAGUGCUCAGUUUAGGUUUAGACCUUCUUAGUAGCUCGGCUCAUCUCGGCUCAUCUUAGCUAACUCAGCAGUAUUUUUAUAGAUAUAUGUGUAUACGUAUGUGUGUAUAUAUACACAUAUAUUACAUAUACUUUUUUGUCUCUCCCUUGCCUUUUUUACAACUCCCAUUUCCUCUUAGGACUAUUAACGGUAGGGUUUCCCUUCUCUACAUUUUAUGUUACUCUCCCAACUAGGACUUAUAGUUCACCCUUUUCUGUUAUACUGUAUUUUGUGGGUUAUUCCCCAACUUCUAGGAGAGUAACAGUGGGCAUUUUCAAAAUGAAUCCAAUAGCCCCUAGCACUAUUGGGACUUCUGGAUCAGCUCUUAUCUACUUUAUAUUAGUUUUAUAAUAGAAAAUUAGACUUCUUUCACUGAUUUUGUGUAAAUAUAAUCCUACUAAAGAAUACCAUGUAUAAAAAAUGACUGAAAAGAACAUUGUGACGGACGGCCUGGCACCCUGACUGGGUGCCUCCGCCAAUCGCUGCUUCCUAGUAACCCGGAGUACUAUAAGCACCACACCAGACACCAUAAGCACCGUAGCCCUUAGCCAGAGAGUAUGGUAGGUAUAGCUGUGUAGCUCUUACAAGAGCUAGUGAUUAUAGCCAGUAUAGUAAUCCAAAGCAGGUAUAGCUGCUAUAACUGUACCCUACAAUCACGAGACAAGGCUGCUUGUUGAGGGUGAAGUGAACUGAUUUUAAUGGGACCACACUUGGCACUCCCUCCUGGACCUGAGAGUAAACCACAGUAGAAAAAUAUACACAAUCAUAUUGGCUCUCAGAUCCAGGACACUCCUAUGCAAACUAGGCCAAUUCCUCCUCUGUACCUGGGAGAUAAUUGAGUCAAAUACUAUAUUAGCUCCAUUAACUCCAGACACAAAAACACACAUUUUUAUAAAAGCCCAAAAAUACCUUUAAAUAAUACAAAACCCCCUCAAACAUCCCCUGAUAUCCCCGAUAUGGGUGAACAACAUAUCCGAAAAUCACCAAGAUUGGUUCAGGAGUUCAGGAAUUUCCUGGUAGUCAUAGUUUUGGCCGACCACGCGUAUAGUCCCAUGCCCAAAACAGUUCCAUAGAAUCGCGGCUAAGUGCUGCUGGGGAUCGACCGUGAACCGCAAAGUCUUCCUGCUGAGAACAGUUCCAUAGAAUUGCGGCUAAGUGCUGCUAAGUUAGGGUAGUCUCCGGUGCCAGGCUCUGUUCUGUCUGUCCCAGGUUGCUGUGUGGGAGUACAUCACCCUUGGUCACUCCUUUGCUCCCAGCCUUGGCAAAGCCUGGGCUUAGGGGGCAGAGGCCAACGGAGCUCUGCCCUGUAGCCAUCGCUUCUGCUCAAGUGUACAUCCUCAAAUGUACACAUCUAUGCAGACGACACAGUAAUCUAUGCAAGCAAAUCCAAUCUACUGCAGCUUGAGGCUGUGCUCCAAAACCAGUUUACAGAGGUAGAAAAGUGUCACAAUGAUCUUUGGAACAGUACCUAAAUUACACACAUUACACAAUUCCCACCUAUCCAUCAAAACAAAAUCAAAUAGCACACUGAUCGCAGUCCACUCUUUCAAAUACUUGGGUUUGUUGUUAGACCACAAUCUAUCUUUUGGCCUCCACAUAGAAAAACUUGCAUAUAAACUUUAUACAAAACUAGGUGCCCUAUAGAGAAACAAAUCCUGCCUAAGUCCUCCAGUAAAGGAAAAGAUUGUACAGCAAAUGCUGAUGCCAAUCAUUGAUUAUGGAGAUGUAGUAUAUGCACCUGCACCGCAAACCUACCUUAAUAAACUCAAUACAUUGUAUAACUCAUUCUGCUGAUUUGUGCUACAAUGUAAUUACAGGACCCACCAUUGUGACAUGCUAAAAGAACUAAACUGGUUGUCGCUGGAAUCCAGACGCACCCUUCAUCUUUCCAGCCUUGAGCUUUUCUGGGAAGCUCCCACCCUACCUGAGCAGAAUGCUCUCCCCCACUGUUCCCACCUCCUAUAACCUCCGAUCCAGUACCAGCACUUUAUUGAGUCUACCGCAAUACAAAAAGAAAGCAGCCUGAUCCUCCCUUUCCAACAGAGCAACGCAAUUA